UCCAGCUCUAGAUCUAUGAUCUAAGUUAAAGUUGAUUUGAACAAAAAGGCUUGGGGGGGGGGGGGAGGAAGGGGAAGGGAAGGGGGAGGCAGAGUUGAGCUGGCUCAGAAGAUGCCAUCUCCCUUCUGAAAGCCAACCCUUAAAGAAAGGGCUUCUUAGGGAGGCAGUUGUUGAUUUGUGUCUGACUCAGUGACCCCAUUUGAUUUUCUUUGGCAAAGAUAGUGGAGUGGUUUGCCGUUUCCUCCAACUCAUUUUGCAGACGAAGAAACGGGCCAAUAGUGUGAAGUGACCCAGGUAGAUGGCCACAUUUGAACUUGGCAAGCUGGGUUUUCUUUGUCUCCAGGCCCGCCCCCAGGGAGACAGGAGGGAAUAGUGAAAAGGACCCUACAUUUGGGUCCCAGCUUUCCCAUUUGCUAGUUUUGUAUUGUUGAGCAAGGUAGUUCAGUUCCGUGGGCCUCGGUUUUCCUGUUUCUGUUUGAUUCCAACUCUGGUGUUUGUGAUCUCAGCAGCCGAUGGCUCAAUGCUUUCUGUAAAUGGGUGGGGCCGUGCCUGUCCUAAAUCAGCCUCCUCUCCAGAUAGUUGACAUGAAUCCAAGCUUUUCAAAUGCGGUGUGGUCUAUGAAAAGUAGGCUCUGCACAAGGAACCAGGCCAGUAUUUCCUGUUUCAGUGGGGGGGUGGGGGUGGGGCCCAAACCAAAGCCUUUUCGGGAUUCACCCGCCCGCCCUAGGUCACUUUGCUCCUGGAAGCACGGCUCAACCUUUGCCUUUGCUCUGGAAGCCCCGCCCCAUGCCUCAGGGAUGCACCUUUGGUCCAAUGGGGCUGGAUUCGCAUUUGACCCCGCGGUCCCAUUCUCCACCCUUUGUCUCUAAGACAUUUUGGCUACUGUCUAGCUUGUUUUCAGACGUUCACGGCUCUUUAACUCCCUGGUAAAUGUGAGCAAGCUACUGGAGACGCGGUGAUAUGCUCAGAGGAAGACCUCUGAAGCGCUUAGCACAUGUGCCUGAAUAGAGUGGGCCCUCCUGAAAGAUUAGUUGAAUUGAGCCUAUAGGCUCCACUGGAAAUGCUUUGGUUGGGUGACCCCUCCAAGAUCAUACUGGUCCUAGCGGCUGCCUGUUGGACGCAUCCCAAACUUCCUCCUAAAUUUGACUCACUCCUUUUAAUAGACUGGGGAUUGGCACUGGAUGAGACUGCCACGUGACCUGUUUACCACACCCAAAGGCCUGUGUCCAGCCCUCUUCCUGCUGGCAGCUUUUAACAUUGUGGACCACACCCUCUUCUUGGUUUCUGUUCCCCUUGAAAACUUCUAGCCUCCUAGUUCCCUCCUCCUACCCUGCUCUGACGACUUCCUUUCCCGUCACUUGGUUCCACUUCCUCUUCCUGAUUUUUCAAUGUUUCCUCUGAAGCCUGUCUAAAGAAGUCAGGAAACAUUUACGGAAGUGCUUACUGUGUGCCAAAUUUUCUCUCUUGAUCCUGGGAAGUGGAUGUUGUGAUUAUCCCCAUUUUAGAGUUGAAGAAACUGAGGUACAAGUUAAGUGACUCCCUAAGGUCAUACAUAGCUAGUAAAUGUCUGUGGCUGAAUUUGGAUUCAGGGUUUUUCCGAUCUCCAGGCCAGGCACUCCUAUCUACCGUACUCCCUGACUUUCCCUCAGCUUUCUCUUCUUUCCUUACCCGCUUUCCUCUAGUAAUCUCAUUCACUGGCAUGGCUUUGGCUGCCACCUUUUUGUGAUUCUUUAGAAAUCUCCAGCCUUUACUUCUCUUUUGAGCUGCAGACUCUCACAUCCAACUGUCUCCAGGAUGUGUCUCCUUGAAAAUUGAACCAGCACCUCAGACUUAGCACAUCCGAAACCAAGCUCGUUAUCUCUCCUGCUUUCAAACCUCUUCCCCCCUCCUCGUUUUACUAUAUCCAGAUUCCACCCUGAUUUCUGGGUUCAUAACCUUGAUAAUAUUAUCUUUAUUCUCAUCUGUCUCAUUCUAGUUAUUUGUCAAGACUUGUCAGUUCUAAUUUCCCAAUAUCUCUUCUAUCCGUCUGUUCUCUAUUCCCAUUGUCACCUCUCUACUUCAUUGCCACACACUGGUCCAAUUGCAAGAGCUUCUUUACCUUCUUACCCUCACUCCACCACCUCCCUCCCAUUUGCCCCUCCUGAAUCAUCUAGCUAAUCUGAAUAACUUACUGGUCAUGACCAAAAUGGUCAGUGGCUUUCUGUUGUCUCAAACUCUCUUUUCCCAGCAUCCUAGACCCUUCACAAACAUUUCUGUCAGUCAUAUUCUCAGCCCUUUGUGCCUUUGCUUGUAGUGUUCUGCAUUCUGUAAUGGCCUACCUUCCUAUCUGCUCUUGGCAAACUCCUCCCUAUCCCGUCCCCAAGUCAGAUAAUUCUUCCUCCAUGAUGCCUUCCCUGACUAUCUCGGGUGAGAAGGACUUUAUCCCUCAGACCCCACUCCGCAGUAUUUUAUACCUUUGUAACGUACUUUACCAGGACAGCUAGAUGGCACAGUGGGUAAAAGGCCAGGCCUGGGAGAAUCCUCUUGUUGCUUCAGAUACUGACUACCUAUUUGAACCUGGGUGAGUCACUGCACCCUGUUACCUCAGUUUCCUCAUCUCUAAAAUGAACUAGAGAAGGAAAUGGCAAACCACUAAAAGAUCUUUGCCAAGAAAGCCCCAAACGGGGUCACGACAAGUCAGACACAACUGGAGCAACUGAACAAAUCAUUUAGCGCAUGCUAGUGUGCAUUAUUAUUGGACUUGGGUUGUUAGCCCUUUCCUGAACUAGAACCAUCCCCUAGCUAAAUUUGAAAGUUCUUCCAGUGCCUGCCCCCGUGUGCUGCCUGUUUGGUAAUGAAUAUCUGUUGAUUCGUUGCUCUAUAUUGCUGAGAGAAUCGGCUUCAGAGAACAUGAGACCACUCCUCAAGCUCAUGGGGCAGCUCUCGUCUUCUCCCCGCCUUUUCAUUUUACAGCUGGUGCUAGAAAGAUAGUAAAGACAAGAGCCAGAACUCCGGGAAGUAAGGAAAGAGCAGGACCCCAUCCCCCCUACCCCCCCACAGAGCCAAAAAAUCCAGGCCUGGAGUCUUAGCUAGGACUCCUGAGCCUUCUGGGCUUCCAUAUAAUCUUCAAAGGGACACAGGCCUACUCCGCUGACCUUCUGCCCUGUUAAUGAAGCAGAUGUUCUAGGAAAGUGAGAUAGGAUGUAGUGAGCGCGCCAAUGACUUACUCCAGUGACAGAUUCUGCCUGGAAACUCCCUACAGGUAGGGACUGCCUUCUGUCUGCUAGACAGAUGGGUGCAGAUGCAAGAGAUACUGGAAAUAGACUCAAUAAGGUGACUUCUGAGUUUAUAGGGGUGAGUGGGACCAUGUAGUGAAUGAGAGUGAGGGAAAAGUCAUGGAUGACUCCAAGAUUGUGAAACUGGUCGAGUGGAAUGAUAGUUCUAAGAAAGUUCAAAGGAGACGUGGGCUUAAGGGAAGAUGCGUUCUUUUUUGCACAUGUUGAGAUUGAGGUGCUUAUAGGAUAUUGGUGCUGUACUAUUAGAACUUAAGAAUGAUGAAGGCUGGAGGGUUAUCUUGGCGAGAUGACGACUGAAUUUUGAACCUCUCUGUGGAGGUGAUGAGAUAACCAGGAGAGACGUUAGAAAGAAAAGAGAAAGUCCCAGAAGGAUUCGUUGGAGGACCCCCUCAUGAUAGAGCAGGACAUGGUGGCAAGCUGGCAAAGGACCCAAGAAAUAGAAGAAUCAAAAGAGAGCAAUGUCACAAGUGGCAGAGGAGAAAAUAAUUCUAAAGAGGGAAGACGGGAGAGGGGAAAUGGUCAGGAGUUUCCAAAGCCGCAGAGUGGUCGGUUAGUAAGAGUGAAGGCCGAAGACAGGGCAGUGGAUUGAGCAGUGAAGAGUGAUUCUCCAUAUCCCUCACUGUCUUUGCAGGGAAGAGUUUUACUGAGUGCCAAGUUUGGAAGUUGAAUUGCAGGAAGUUGAGGAGUGCGGAAAGGAAGGUGUGGUUUGUUGUUGUUUUUUCUAGAAGAUUGGCUGUGAAAUGUAGAGAUACAUGUAGACCAGUGCCCGUGUUCUCAAGAUCAGGCAUGGCUGGUCCAGGUUAAUAGGUACAGGAACUUGGGAAGCUCAGUGCUCUUCUUCACCCACCAUCACCAUCUCCACUUGUCUCUAUCCGAAAGCUUCCAUUUCUCCUUUUCCAGCGAGGGAUGCCUGGCCCUAAGUAGGAAGUGCUAAAGGGCAGGGUCCUUCUGCUUGGGUUUCAAAGUGGGGGCAAUGGGGAUUUACCCUCCGACCCGAUCCAGGCCUGAGCUUUCUUGUUUCCGUGACGAGGAUUGGCAGGGAAUGAAAGAAAGGAGCAGAAUGCAAAUGCGUAAAAGAACCCCAGGUUUCCCUUAGGGUCUCCUCUUUGCCGGUCUGCUUGUAACAGGAUGCACCCUUGUUGUGCCCAUAAAGUGCCCCUCUUGCUCUUCUUUACUUGAAUCAAGUUCUUAGUUCUCACUUGUUCAUCCCAGAGGGGCCGGGCAGGACAGGAGGGGCAAAGCAAACCCGUUCUUCCCCUCUCUCUUCUGUCCAGUGUGUCCCCAGGCAGGGGGGUUCAAAAUUGGGAGCUGCCUGCCAUUACCAUCCCCACCUGCCUCCUGAUCUAACUUGGGCUUAUGUGGGAAGCACCAAGAAUAUUGAACUCUUGAUUAGAAGUGAGACCUGAGUGGCCACUCUUACCUUUACAGAUUUUCUUUUGGGGAUCUUGGGAAGAGGCCACUGGGAUUUGAAGUCAGAGGACCUCAGAGAGUCAAAGAAGUAAAGGAUUCUGGGAAGACACCUUAGACCCUUCACAUCCAAGUACAAGAUGGGAAAACUGGGGCCCCUAGAAGAGUGACUUGGUCAAAGUCACACAACCAGCCAGCAACAGACUGAAUGCAAAGCCGUACCCUCAGAGGCCAAACUGAGUAUCUCACCAUUGGCACUUCUGGCUGCCUCUGGCAUCUCAUGAAAUGGGUUGCAAAAGACAAAGGUACGCCUCAUGCUAGAGCACUGGGACAUUAGUCAUCCACCCCACUCCUCGGGACCUUGACACCUGAGCUCCCGGAGGCGUGUGCCAAAUGAACAAAUGGCCCACAAUGGAGAACUCAGUCGUUUGUGCCAAUGUCCAGCAGUCAGGUGCUUCUCUCUUGCCUUUGUCCUCUGCCCUUGGUUUGCCCCGGUUUCAUCUUCCUCUUUUUGGGGCCCCGCAAAGCACUGGGGAGUGUUGAAUUGGAGCCUGCCUUUCAUACCUCGGCUCCUUAAUCUCCAGCCCAUCCUCAGACCCUGUAAGCAUCUGGUCUGCCCCCUCAGCCCGUGUUGACCAAAAUCUGAUCAGUAAGCCAGAAUUACCACUUUGAGGGCCUGCCUGAUCCUGGCCCUCAAGAGUAGCCUGAUGCUGUAUCCCUGGGGCACCACAGCCUCUUCUCUCUAACCAGGUAUAAUCUCUGCUGAAGCUACCUAGGCUGGUGAAGCCUUAUGGCCACUCUUUAAGCAUACUGAUCCGGCUCAUUCUUUGAGCUUGGGAGUCCCCAGCCCCCUCCAGAAGGGAGGCCACACUUCAUCUUCAGUCCCAACUUCCUGUUCCUUAAGCCCUGAGCUCUUCCUGAAGUACUUAUUAGCCAGGACUUGCUUCUGCUCUUGAGUUAGUCUUCAGUGGCUUCAUUUUCCAAGUAGGAAGUGGUGGGCCCAGAUGCUGCAGCUCCUUCCUCCAUCCCCACAUCUGGAUGCUGUCCUGGAAGGGGCUUCUCAUAUCUCUCCAUUUGAGUCCGGCCUGAUUUUACCAUCUUGCUACAUUCCCUUUUUAUUUCUCGGGUGUGGCGGUGUUCUUGCCAUUUGCAGAAUUAGAGAAUUGUAGUUGCCGUGGGCUUUGUUUUCUCCUCCGCGUUGAUUCAGGGAGAUCUUUCGAGGCUUCUCUGUAGUCAUCACACACAUCAUUUCUUAGAACACGUAUUCCGUUCCAUUCACGGACCGCGCUUCGUCUAGCUAUUUUGAUUCCGCUUCUUUGCUAUCAUAGAAAAUGCUUCCAUAAUUCUUGCUGCGUAUGAGGGCUUUCUUCCUAUCAGUGGCUUCCUUGGAGUAGAAGUCUAGUAAUGGAGUCUGCAAAUCAAAGGGGUAUGGAUAGUAUGGUUAUUUUAUUUGCAUUAUUCCAGAUUGCUUUCCAGAUUGUACCAUCUCAUACCCCCGCCAGCAGUGCUCUAGUCUGCCGAUGCUGCCCCACCUCCUUCAAGCCUGACUUGUCAUUUUUGCCAUCUGAUAACUUUCAGGGUGUCAGGGAAAACCUUGGGGUUCUUUGUGAUGUGGACUUACUCUCUUCCCCAGUCAGGAAGAAGCCCAUGUGGCUGUUAUCAGGCAUAGCCAAUUCCCAGACUCUCCUGGUUAUGUAACGUGAUGGUGAAGAUGGAAGUUUUUGUCAUCCUCCAUUGUCCAUCCCCUGAUCUCUGAGUAGCUUUAAUCAACCUUUGAGAUGUCAAUUAGCAUCUCUGAGACAGGUCUGGGACCUGAUCUGCCAGCUAUUCCAUCUGGCUCCCUCUUGAUUCUUCCCUCUGAGCCUCCUGGCACUUCCCCUCUUCCUUUGAGAAACCCCCAAGGUUGUAUUUUCCCUAUAAAUUCAAGUAUGAGACAGGUCUGGGACCUGAUCUGCCAGCUAUUCCAUCUGGCUCCCUCUUGAUUUUUCCCUCUGAGCCUCCUGGCACUUCCCCUCUUCCUUUGAGAAACCCCCAUGGUUGUAUUUUCCCUAUAAAUUCAAGUAUGAGACAGGUCUGGGACCUGAUCUGCCAGCUGUUCCAUCUGGCUCUCUCUUGAUCCUUCCCUCUGAGCUUCCUGGCACUUCCCCUCUUCCUUUGAGAAACCCCCAAGGUUGUAUUUUCCCUAUAAAUACAAGUACGCAUGGUGGAGAUCUUUGUGUAGAACUAAGCCCACUACGAGGUACUCUCUCUCUACCCCUCCUAGUGGCUUCCCUUCACUAGUGUCUUUCUCCUUACUAUGUAGCUAACUCUGGUUAGUCUGCUCUGUGGAUUUAACCUGCCAGUCGAUAGCGUUCUCCCACCCUGUGGCGUAUUCCUUUAAUGGAUUCUUCCAAACUCCUUUCCUUGGUCCCUUCCUCGGUAACCCUAUCACGCUCCCAAAUCUAUUUCCGAUUUGCCACUUCUUGUGUCUUAUUUUACCUCUUAUUUUGUCUGCAACCUCUUCUCCCAAAUAAAUUUACCUUUUGACAAAGAGAAUGGCUUUUGUGAAUUUGGCCCAUGUUCAUUUCGAACUAGGAAUUGCUACCCAGUGAUUGCAUUUCUCUUCUUAGUGCUUGGGAGCAUUCUUUCGUGGGCUGUAAAGAAGUUGUGGGUCUUCCUUUCUAAACUGUUCGGUACCAUCUUUUCAGUAGGAAAACAGCCUUGAUUUGUUCAAUUUCUGUAGAGCUAGGAAGACCAGAAAGACAAGAAGAUGGUAAGUGCCUGACCAUCUGCAAACGGUUAGGCUUCUUAGUAAUUCGGCAAUGGUCAAAAGGGUAACAGUGUCUUGAAUGUUAGAACUUUUGAAUCUGAUGCUUUUUUUUCUUUAUGGAACUAUUUCCAAAGCAAAUUGUAUGUUUCUUUUCCAUAGGCUAUGAAUUUAAGGAAUUCUACAACUACAGAUUUAGAAUUGGAAGGGAUCUUCAAGGCCAUCUGGUGGGACCUUCGAGGCCAUCUGGUGGGACAUUCGAGGCCAUCUGAUGGGACCUUCGAGGCUAUCUGGUGGGACCUUUGAAAUUAUCUAGACAGACGAGACCAAGAGAGGAAAAGUGGCUUGCGCAGGUUCUCACAAUUAGUAAGCAUCAGAAUCAGAAUCUGAACUCAGGGCAUUUGGCUUCAGAUCCAGAGAACUUUCUAUCGCCCUGCCAUCCUUUGACAAAAUCCAUUGUACUAAGAGGCGAAGCUAAUUCUGGACUGUAAAGCUCUUGUUUCUUCUCUCUUUUCCUCCACUAUUAGUUUCUCCCUUUUCUAAUCUAUCCUUUACAUUACUUCCAAGUUAAUAUUCCUAAAACACAAGUCUGAUUUUGUCACUCUCAUACUUAAAAAAAAAAAAAAAAUCCUGAAGUGGCUUCCUGUUAUCUCUAGGAAAAACUACAUACUCCUCAAUCUAUCUUUACCGCUGAAUUUGGUACUGCUUUUUUUUGCCCAAUCCACGUUCCAGCCAAACUGAACAACUUCCUUUUCCCAAAGUGGACAUUUCAUCUCCUUCCCCCUCCCCUUUGCAGAGGCUGUACCCCAUGUUUGAGACACUCUUUCCUUACCUCUUAGAAACCCUACUUCUUUCGAGAUUCAGGUCAGCUGCCAACCUUCUAAGUAAGGCCUUCCCGGAUUCCUCCAGUUGUUGUUGCUCUGUCCCUCCUGAAACUACCUUCUAUUUGCUCAUCUUGCAUAUAUGUUCUAUUCCUCCAUGGAAAGGGCGCUCAGUUAAGGCAGGGACUAUUUUUAGAACACCUCAGCGUCUGGCACACGUAGUAAACAUUUGUUGAGUUGAGCUUCUCCCAUUUGCCUUUCUCCUUGAAAUCCACGAUCUCUCUUUCCAUUGUAGCCACCUUAUCAAACUGCAUUCUUGUUCUGGACUCCUAAGUGGUUCUGAAGAGAGUCUUGAGACUGCCUCAACUGAAUUGACUCUAAAUUCAUGCCAUCCAGCUGGGUCUCUCUACCAGCAGCAUUAUUUCUCAGCUUUAUGCCCCCUUCCCUAGACUCCCAAAUCCCCUGGCUCUCAGCAGGUGACUUCCCGUCCUGCUUUCCUGAGAAAAAGGAAGGCGUUCAGUGGAAGCUGUCUUAGCUAACCUUCAUCUACUCUUUCUUCAUUCUCUUCUGCCUCUAGGCAAGAAAUGGCUAACCUCCUUGAUCUGUGCCCUUGAUCUCAGUUCUUCCCACGUAGGGCUCAGAGAAUGGCUUUCUCUCUUUCUUUCAUCUUCUGUCUCUCCCUCUUGACCACUUCCUUUCUGAAUGUCUACAAUGUUCUGAUCAUAUCCUGUCCUAAAAAAAAAAAAAAAAUUGCCUUCAUAUCUGUUACUCUCCCAAACCAUGAUCCAAUUUCCUUCUCUUCAUUCCCGCAUUUAUACUUCCCCAUGCUUUUAUUUUUCCCUUGUUCCACAUAUUAUUUACUUCUUCCUGGCAUUUAUUUUCUCUCCUUUACACCUAUCCCCACUACACUGAAAAAAAACCAAAAACACAGAAACCAAUCCCUCAUAACAACUGCCUAGUCAAGCAAUACAGUUUCCUCCAUUGGCUGUGUCCAAAAAUGCGUGUCUUAUUCAAUACCCUGAUUCCAAUACCUUACUGUCCAGAAGUGGGUGACAUGUUUCAUCACCAGUCCUCUGGAAUACCUAUUGGUUAUUUCAUCGCUCAGAUUCUUCAGUCAUCCAGAGUUGGUUGUUUUUACAAGGUUGUCUUUGAAUAGAUCACUCUCCUGGUUCUGCUUACUUCUCUCUGUGUCCGUUUAUACAAGUCUUCCAAGAUUCUUUGAGACCAUUGUGCCUUUUUAUAAUUUCCUAAAGGACAAUAGUUUUUCCAUUACAUUUGUAUAUAAUGAUUUAUCUAUCCAUUCCCAAGAGGGGCAUCCGUUCAGUGUCUGGUUCAAUGCCAGUACUAAAAGAGCUUCUAGAAACAUUUUUGUCUAUGUAGAUACAUUUCUUAUUUGAUCUCUUUGGGGUAAUAUUUAUGGUUCAAGGGAUAUGCAAUUUAGAGACUUUUUGGACAUAUUUCCAAAUUGAUUUCUGAAAUGAUAGGUCUUUUGAUCCAUAGCUCUACCAAUAAGGCAUUAAUGUGAUCAUUUUCCCACAGUCCUUCCAACAUUUGUCAUUUUCUGCUUUUUUUCAUCUUCACCUAUCCGAUACCUGUGAAGCAGGAACUUAGAGUUAUUUUCAUUUGAAUUUGUCUAAGUAAUUUAGAGCCUUUUUGACGUGCCUGUUGCUAGCGUGAAUAUCCUUUGUUUAUCAUUGAAGAAUGGCUUAAAGGUUUUGAAAAUGAAACCUUUAGCAGAGAAACUUGCUGCCAAAAAAUUUCCCUGGUUACCUUUCUCUCUUCUAAUUUUAGCUCAUUGGUUUGAUUUGUGCAAAAAUGUUAAAUUUUAUGUAAUCAAAAUUGGCUAUAUUCCUCCUGUAAAUGUUUCUUACAAGAUCUUAUUUGAUGAAUUCUUUGUUUAUCCAUAGUUCCAAAACGAAAUUUCUUCCUUGCUUCUCUAAUUUGUUUAUAAUAUAACCUUGUAUGUUUACGCCAUUUUGGAGCUUCCAGGCUGCCUUCUAAUUUCCCCAACAGUAUUUGAAAAUUUUGGUAUUAUUUUUUCAAAUUACAUGUAACAACAAUUUUAACCUGCUUUUAAAAAAGUUUUGCCUUUCAAAUUCUUUCUCUUAUUCUCCUUUCCCUAUCCUGAGAUGGUACGCAAUUAGAUAUAGAUUAUACAUGUGCUAUCAUACAAAAUAUAUUUUCAUAUUAGCCAGCUUGCAAAAGAAAACAUAGACCAAAAAAAAAAAAAAAAAAGAACCCCAAGAAAAAUAAAAUCGUUUGGUUUUUUUUAAAGUAUGCUUCACUCUGAAUUCAGACUCUUGCUUCAUCAGUUCUUCCUCUGGAGAUGGAUAGCAUUUUCCAUCAUGAAUUUUUUGGAAUUGUCUUGGAUCAUUAUAUUGCUGAGAGUAGUAAAUUAUUCCCAGCUGAUCAUCACACAAUCUUGCUGUACAAAGUUCUCCUCUUUCUCUGCUCAAUUCACUGUGCAUCAGUUCACAUAGGUCUUCCCAGGUUUUUCUGAAGGUAUCCUGCUCAUCAUUUCUCAUGGCACGGUAAUAGUCCAUCACAAUCGUAUGCCACAGCUUGUUCAGUCAUUCCCCAGUCACUGGGUGUUCUCUCGAUUUUCAAUUCUUUUGACACCAUAAAGAGAGUUGCUAUACGCUUUUUUAUACUUUGCUCAAAUCUUCGCGGCUCAUUAUUUAGGUUUUCAUGGCCUAAAAAGAGUAUAAAUUAUAAUUGUUUUCUGAGGGUUUUCCCCUCCCGGAUUGAUAUUUUUGUGAUGGCAAAUUAGGCCUUCUUUUGUCUUACUGCUUAUCCAGUCCUUAGCCGUUGAGUAGAAGUAGUCUCAGACAAACUAUGAUCUGAGAAGGAUUUUGAUUUAGAAAGGCCACGAUCAUCCACCGUAGUCCUGGCUAUCUCCAGUGUCUUGAUUUUUGUCUUAUUACUGGACUUCAAAGACUGGAGGAGAGUCAGUCUGAGGACUACUGCUCAAUCUCACUUCAAUCCAAUUCACACACAAGUUCAGACAUCACCCUGGUAAUAUCAUUUGGUUUUUUUCCCGGAAUGAACAAACAACUGCAACAUUUUAUUUAAAACUUUUCGCAACAAUAUCCAUUAGGAAAAUUGCUCUGUAGUUUUCUCUCUGUAUUUUCCCCCUUCCUGGUUUAGAAAUAAGUAACAUAUUUGUAUCUUAGACUCCUUUGCCUAUUUUUCCAGACAGUUUAGAAAUCAGUAACAUAUUUGUAUCUUAGACUCCUUUGCCUAUUUUUCCAGACACUUUAUAUCGUAUUAGGAUGAAUUGUUCUUUAAGUGUUUAUUAGAAUUUGCUUGUGAAUCCUUCUGGUCCUGGGUAUUUUUUCUUAAAGAGCUCAUUUAUGGCUUGUUCUAGGAUAGGAUUACUUAAGUAUUUUCUCUUCUCUUUCUAUUUUUUCUAUUUUCUCUUCUGUCAAUCUGGGCAACUUAUAUUUUCGUAAAUAUUCAUCCACUUAGAUUGUCAGAUUUCUUGACAAAAUCUUUUGAACAGAAUAUCCCUGAUAAUUGCUUUAAUUUCAUCUUCAUUGGUGGUGAAUUCAUCCGUUUCUUUUUUAUUACUAGUAACUUGGGUUUUUUCUUUCUUUUUUAAAAAUUAAAUUAACCAAUGGUUUGUCUAUUUUAUUGGGGACUUUCCCAUAAAACCAGCUUCUAGUUUUCUUAAUUCGUUCAGUGGGUUUUUUUGUUUUGUUUUGUUUUUAAUCUUGAUAUGAUCGUAACCACCAGGCUACCUGGUCCAGGAAAUAAUCACCUUAGGAAUACAGGCUUUGGGAAUGAUAUAGUAUAGGCUCCAAGUUAUCUGACUUAAGAAUACUGUAUCUGCCUUUAGAUAAUUUUGUCUUAGUUUACAUUUUAUUACCAGCUAUAUCGGGGUGCCUGGAGUGAGAUGCCUAAGCUAACCACUCCCCAACUUUACCUCUAAGAUCAGUGACAUAAAGGACCUGGUUUACUUUUCCUAUAAAAGUCCCUUCUUAUACCCCCAUUUCUUUACUAAUUCCCUUUUGGAGCUUAUUCUACCAUCAGUGGUGUUACAAUAAUAAAGUCUUUGCCUCUCGAUUUGGAGGUGAUUCUUUUGAAGUAUCUCAUGACACCGGCCCAAGCACUCCGAUAUUGUGGAGUUGACACUCCUGCACCCCACCAUUUGGUGGUCCAUAAGGGAAAAAGUCUAGCUUUGCUUGCUUCCUCCACUUUUUCUUUUCCCUCCUUCUAUCCUGUAGCUAGGACACCCCUAGCAUCCAGGAAGACUUAUUGAGGUCAUCAGUAAGUUUUAUGCUCAGCAUGCUUUCCUUGGUUAGGGAUACCUGAUCUUAGGGGUACUUUUGGUUUUGGCACACUUGCCACUUUUCACCUUCCCUGGGAAACCAAGGGAGAUAAGUUGCUAUAGGAAUAGAAACUCUUUAGGGCUUGUGGCAAAAAUGGGACAGUCCAUUCCCAUCCCUAAAAAAGCAGAGACAAAUUUGGCAUAUAAGAUCUCAAAAAGACAAGGCUCAUUUUCUUUUGUAACACUGCCUGGCCUCAGUCUACCCCGGAGGCUCAGGAAAAAAUGGCCUGUCAAAAGGUUUCUCGUGUUUUUUUUUUUUUAAUUAGUAUUUUAAUUGAAUGUUUUGUUGUUCUGUCUAUGUCUGUGUCUCUGUGUUUGCAGAGGUCUAUGUCAUGUUUGUGCUGUGAGCUAGAUUGUUACCUUGAAAGAUUUCAAAUGAAGCCAGUAAAAGGGAGAAAAAACUUCUAAGGGCUACACUUAGAACACUGGGAAAAAUUUAUUAACAUUACUAACUUCUCCCAAAAAAGAAAAAGCCUUCGUGGCCCCAACAGUAGCAAAGUUGAGGCUACGGAAAUAAAGCUCUAUAAUUAAAGUUGGAGGGACGUACAUCCUAGCAAAUAUUGGAGGUUUUGUGAUAAAGGAAACUGACAAUUAGAAACUUUAAGAUUACGGGAAAGAAUUCCUUUGACUAUGGGGUGAUUUCAGGAAUUCACCUCCUUCUGAAACUUCUUAAUAAAAUUUGAGAUGCCAUUCUGUACAGUUUUUCUUAAGGAAAAAUAAAGAUUAGAUCUUACAGAAGUUGAAAAGGAUUUGAAAAGAAACUGACAAAAUUAAAAUCAUUACAGCCCACGUCCCUUUCUUAACCCCUCUCAUCUCAUACUCGAUUAGGAAAAGAGAAUGCUGGAGAAUUGUAGAGAAACUUAAAUUAUGCCUCACCUGGUAGAAACGAGGGAGGCAGUAACCGCAACAAGGCCUCACACUUCCUGCCCUAGUAGCUCUCCAACUCCAGCACCUGCAACUGGGCAGGAAGUCGGGUCGGGUCUUACAGUCAGCAUUCUCUGAUUCCCGACACCUGGAACUACCGCCAAAGGGAGAUUCUGGCACCGCCCACCCCAGCCCUCAGCAGGUUCCACCCAGCUGUUGCUUGGGAGAAUCCAGGUAUUCCUGGCAGCACCUAGUGUGGCAGAGGUGGGGGAGACAGCCAGUCUGUCCUUGGUAAGCCCACCAUUCUAUGUUCCAGUGAUUUAUUAGCUGUGUUAUCUCUAUUUGCCCUAGUACGAAAUCAGGAUUUGAAAAAAGAAACAGAACAAAAAGGAGGGCAAAUAUGGUUUUAAUUUGGAAAAAAAAAAUUUUUUUAAAGUAUUAAAUAGUCAAUCAUGUCUUCUGUAAUCUAAUAAUGGGGUUUCUGCGUAGCUGGAACUCUAGCUACUGUUCCAGCAGGAACAUAAGUCACUUCGUUCUGUAAGGGGAUGAUAACUGAACCCACAUCCCAGGGUUUUUGUGAGGAUCACAUGACUGUAAAGUGCUUGCCCUGUGCAAGUGCUCUAUGAAUGUUAACUGUUUUCAUUAUGUCUUUUAUUUGAUGUGAUUGUGUCAUACUUGAUAACUUUCUAUGGGUUUUUAGAUGUGACCGACAUAUAUUACCAGUGUUGAGAUAAAUGAUUUUCUGUGUUAGGUAAUUUGGAAGUGCAUUCAAGUAAGUGAAGGUUGGUAAUUAAUGGAAUCCCAACCUGGGUUCCCGAGGCAUAGGAAGAUAGGGUGUAGAGGAAAAAGAGUCUCUUUCUCCUUCUCCUCCUCUCUCCCCCUCUAACUGCAGCAGGGGCUGGUGGACAAGAAAGAGAAAGAAAAUCAAGAGGCAGAUUUAGGGGGUAUCGGGUGAAAAUUCCAGGGUGAAGACCUCUCUCUGAAAUAAGAACUGAUACUUAAGCCCUUUCCUGGCUCACCCAAAAAAAAAAAGAGAGAGAGAGAGAGAGAGAAAAUGCCUGUGUGAAUUGGGAAACAGCCAAAAGGUGUGAUCAGAACAUUUAGCUAUAAUUUAGGGAUCUUACAAAUUAAAGUAGUGGUCAAUUUUAAAAUAAUUUUUUACAUUAGUAUGUGUGUUCAAAUUGAAAACUUGAUUGUAAAUGAUAAGAUUCCUACCCAGUUUUGUCAUAGAUUACAAUUUAUCUGAAUUUUAAGAAUCAUCUUGUUUUCUUCCUUAAAAAAAAAAAUUAAAAAAAAAAAAGGAAACCAAUUAAGGGAACAGGAGAGGGAAGCCCAAUCCCUCCUGAGAACUUCCAGAGUUGCAAUAGCUUGGGAAAAAGAAAAAAGCCCCCCAAUUGAAUCUUUCUGAGAUUGUAGCACCCAGAUUUGACUUGUCACCCAGCAACUUGAAUGUUAUGAAUUGUGUAACUAAAUGAAAGUGGAAAAUUUGUUUAAAACCUGUUGUGUUAUUUUGUCAACCCUGUUAACUCUGUUUUAUAGUGUUUUGUAAAUGCAAUUUAGGAAAUUGGAUAGUUUCACCUUUGCUUGUAAGUUUAGAGUAAGUUACUGCUAAGACAAUAUGUUUAUCACUUAUGAAAAUUAUAAGAUUGUUAAUUAAGUUACUUGGAUUUGUUGUAAUAAUGUAAAAUCUAAUAUUGGUGAUUGCUUCUCAUUCAAAGCACUUCAACUUGGGGUACGAAGGUCUACCGAAGAAUUAGUCUAUCCUCCACAUCCCCUCACAGGGUGAGGGAAGUGUCAAAGAGCACAAGCCAUAGCAACUGUCAUGGGCGUGCAAGAACAGCAGGCUCAGCCCCUUCUCUGGGUUCCCUGUUGAUUUUCCUUAAUUUAUAAACUUGCAGAUUUCUUUAAAGCAUCAUGUGAGUGAGGGUCAUCGGCCCUGAGAAAUGAGAUAGUUAAGGUUAUGGGGUUCCUAAACAAUGAGCUUGGCUUGAUAAAGAUUUGCAAAUGUCUUUGUUAUAUGGAAGAGAUUUCUAAUGAUUGGUCUUCACCAGGAUUAGUUUAAACUCUAGGAGAAGAAGAAAAGAAAAAUAAAGAUGUUAAGUGAAAUCUCUUAUGUGUGUGAGACCUGGUAAACUUUGUUAUAGUGCUAAGGCUAAUUUAAUCGGUUGUGUUGCGUCACCAUAACAAUGUUCUUAUUGUUUAAAGGGAUUCUGGGAGUAGUAGUGUAUAUUGAUGUUCCUUUGAACAUAGUUAAUAACUGAACAUUUGGAGGUUUUUUUUUUAAUACAAUUUCUAAUUUUACAUUUCUAUAUCCCAAGUCUGGUUGUUAAUCGAGCAUCAUUUGUAUAAUGUUGAAUUUAAAACCAUCUACUUAGCUUCAAGAUAAGUUGUGAAUUUUCUGGGAUGAAUCUCUUACUGCCAAUGCUUAUUAUUUAGGGGCAUGUGAUCCUUGAGAGCUGAACCCACCUGAAGUUCUGACUGAUGAGACUUGCUAUUUGAAAUAAAAUUUCUCGGGAUCGUAA